UGGGGAAUCUUGCGCAAUGGGCGAAAGCCUGACGCAGCAACGCCGCGUGCGGGAUGAAGGCCUUCGGGUCGUAAACCGCUUUCAGCAGGGACGAAAAUGACGGUACCUGCAGAAGAAGCUCCGGCUAACUACGUGCCAGCAGCCGCGGUAAUACGUAGGGAGCAAGCGUUGUCCGGAUUUAUUGGGCGUAAAGAGCUCGUAGGCGGUUCCGUAAGUCGAGUGUGAAAAAUCUGGGCUCAACCCAGUGGAGCACUCGAUACUGCGGUGACUAGAGUACGGUAGAGGAGUGUGGAAUUCCUAGUGUAGCGGUGAAAUGCGCAGAUAUUAGGAGGAACACCAACGGCGAAGGCAGCACUCUGGGCCGGUACUGACGCUGAGGAGCGAAAGCGUGGGGAGCAAACAGG
rnacentral:rRNA from 1 species